UAUUUACAUUCAUCCGUCACAGCCUGGCAGGUUACACAUGGGGGCUGAUCCAUUCAGGGGAGGAAGAGCCUAUGUGCCAGGCCUCCCCUUUUGGUGGGGGCCUCCAUAAGAGGCCUGGGGGGGUAGAGCGAGGGGCCCCUUGCAG